rnacentral:rRNA from 1 species
AUGAAAUUGAGUUAUUCACCUGUUGUAGAGGCUCAGAAGUUGCUUGGAAUCUUCUCAAGACCUGGACGUAUCCUUCCUGCCCAACAGAGAAGGAUGGCCAGAGCCUCGCUAUCUUGGAUUGUCUGGUCGAUAUCUAAAGAAUGUGAUCUAGGCAAAUAUCUCUGGAGCACUAAAGCAACAACGACUUCACCAUUGAUCAGGCCCUUGAAGUGCCUCCCUCAUGGCGAAUACAAUUACAGGGCUGGGAUAGUGUUAGGGUCAGAAGAACCUUAUGGGGGGAACCCAGGAAAUAUGGAUCAAGAAUUCACGAUCCAGGAUCUAUGUGACACUGAAUUGAUGAAAAUGAUAUAUGGGUGCAGUUACUGGACAAAUCUAGGCAAUUUACAGUUAAUUUCUUAG